AUUGAACGCUGGCGGCGUGCUUAACACAUGCAAGUCGAACGAGAACGGAAUAUAGCUUGCUAUAUUUGUCAGCUAAGUGGCGCACGGGUGAGUAAUGUAUAGAUAACCUGCCCUUAAGAAAGGAAUAACAGUUGGAAACGACUGCUAAUGCCCUAUAUGCCUUUAAUACAUAAGUAUGCAAGGGAAACGCUUUAGUGCUUAAGGAUGGGUCUGUAUGGUAUCAGCUUGUUGGUGAGGUAAUGGCUCACCAAGGCUAUGACGCCUAACUGGUUUGAGAGGAUGAUCAGUCACACUGGAACUGAGGCACGGUCCAGACUCCUACGGGAGGCAGCAGUGGGGAAUAUUGCACAAUGGACGAAAGUCUGAUGCAGCAACGCCGCGUGGAGGAUGACACAUUUCGGUGCGUAAACUCCUUUUAUAUAGGAAGAUAAUGACGGUACUAUAUGAAUAAGCACCGGCUAACUCCGUGCCAGCAGCCGCCGCGGUAA
rnacentral:rRNA from 1 species